rnacentral:antisense_RNA from 1 species
GUUAGCGGGAAAAAGUCUUGAUAACCACUAGCCGGCUUAUGAACAACUGCACUUAGAACUGCCGUUUCGCCAUAUCGAAUUAAGACUGCACCGUCUGCUUGUUGUGCUAAUUGGCCAACUUCGACUUGGAGGUUUUGGCCAUUCCACUGACGCCGAAAAACUUUUUUUUCAUGUGUCAUUUGUUUUCGAUCCUUUACUAUUAUUUUAUUUCUAUGUAUAAAGAAAGCGAGAUCGAAAUGACCUCGCCAUGGGUAAGCUUAACGACGUAAGCCUAAGCUCUUAAUAAGUUCACGA